UACGUAGGGGGCGAGCGUUGUCCGGAUUUAUUGGGCGUAAAGCGCACGCAGGCGGUCUUUUACGUUUUGAGUGACAGGUGGUGGCUCAACCACCACAGGCCUUGAAAUACGGGAAGACUUGAGGACGAGAGAGGGAUGCGGAAUUCCAGGUGGAGCGGUGAAAUGCGUAGAGAUCUGGAAGAACACCAAAGGCGAAGGCAGCUCUCUGGUCGACCUCUGACGCUGAGACGCGAAAGCGUGGGGAGCGAACGGG
rnacentral:rRNA from 1 species